rnacentral:rRNA from 1 species
CACGUAGGCACCAAGCGUUUGUCCGGAUUUAUUGGGCGUAAAGAGCUCGUAGGCGGUUGAGUAAGUCGGGUGUGAAAACUCUGGGCUUAACCCAGAGCCGCCACUCGAUACUGCUCUGACUUGAGUUCGGUAGGGGAGACUGGAAUUCCUGGUGUAGCGGUGAAAUGCGCAGAUAUCAGGAGGAACACCGGUGGCGAAGGCGGGUCUCUGGGCCGAUACUGACGCUGAGGAGCGAAAGCGUGGGGAGCAAACAGG